UACGAAGGUGGCAAGCGUUGUUCGGAAUCACUGGGCUUAAAGGGCGCGUAGGCGGGCAAGAAAGUGUCUUGUGAAAUCCCACGGCUUAACCGUGGAAUUGCUCGGCAAACUUCUGGUCUUGAGGCAAGUAGGGGUGUGUGGAACUCUUGGUGGAGCGGUGGAAUGCGUAGAUAUUACACAGAACACCGAUUGCGAAGGCAGCUUACUAAUCCAUCAUUGACGCUGAGGCACGAAAGCGUGGGGAUCAAACAGGAUUAGAUACCCCUGUA
rnacentral:rRNA from 1 species